rnacentral:misc_RNA from 1 species
UACUCUCACUCUCCCGAUACUUUUGGAUCGGGAGUGGUGGACUUGGGUGCUGCUGCUUAACUGUGGCUCGCCUUAAAUGAAGUAGUGCAACUCUCGGUUGGACAUAGUACGGCGUGAUAAGUGUCUUCGCCGGCGCCUCAUUCGAGGGUGGCCGAUCGGGAGCUCUGUGCUUCAAACUGUCUUCGGACAACAUCUGACA